GAAGGUAUAGCUCAGUCGUAGAGUGUGGGCUUAGCAUUCACAACAUCUUGGGUUCAAUCCCCAGUACCUCCA
rnacentral:tRNA from 1 species